rnacentral:rRNA from 1 species
AGGGAAUCUUCGGCAAUGGACGAAAGUCUGACCGAGCAACGCCGCGUGAGUGAAGAAGGUUUUCGGAUCGUAAAACUCUGUUGUUAGAGAAGAACAAGGAUGAGAGUAGAACGUUCAUCCCUUGACGGUAUCUAACCAGAAAGCCACGGCUAACUACGUGCCAGCAGCCGCGGUAAUACGUAGGUGGCAAGCGUUGUCCGGAUUUAUUGGGCGUAAAGCGAGCGCAGGCGGUUUCUUAAGUCUGAUGUGAAAGCCCCCGGCUCAACCGGGGAGGGUCAUUGGAAACUGGGAGACUUGAGUGCAGAAGAGAAGAGUGGAAUUCCAUGUGUAGCGGUGAAAUGCGUAGAUAUAUGGAGGAACACCAGUGGCGAAGGCGGCUCUCUGGUCUGUAACUGACGCUGAGGCUCGAAAGCGUGGGGAGCGAAC